rnacentral:tRNA from 1 species
GGGCCCGUAGCUCACCUGGUAGAGCGCCUCAUUUGCACUGAGGAGGUAGGGGGUUCGAGUCCUCUCGGGUCCACAA